GUGAACGCUGGCGGUAGGCUAACACAUGCAAGUCGAACGGCAGCACAGUAAGAGCUUGCUCUUACGGGUGGCGAGUGGCGGACGGGUGAGGAAUACAUCGGAAUCUACUUUUUCGUGGGGGAUAACGUAGGGAAACUUACGCUAAUACCGCAUACGACCUACGGGUGAAAGCCGGGGAUCUUCGGACCUUGCGCGAUUGAAUGAGCCGAUGUCGGAUUAGCUAGUUGGCGGGGUAAAGGCCCACCAAGGCGACGAUCCGUAGCUGGUCUGAGAGGAUGAUCAGCCACACUGGAACUGAGACACGGUCCAGACUCCUACGGGAGGCAGCAGUGGGGAAUAUUGGACAAUGGGCGCAAGCCUGAUCCAGCCAUACCGCGUGGGUGAAGAAGGCCUUCGGGUUGUAAAGCCCUUUUGUUGGGAAAGAAAAGCAGCAGGUUAAUACCCCGCUGUUCUGACGGUACCCAAAGAAUAAGCACCGGCUAACUUCGUG
rnacentral:rRNA from 1 species